AGUGAGGUUGAAGAUGUAAAGACAAAGAAAGCACUACUGAUGACUUCUAGGACAUUCUAAUACAGUAGGAGGAAGAUCAGAAGUGAACCUGUAUUAUUCCUGUACAAGGUUGUAUUUAUCUGUGAUAGACUACUGCAAUGGAAUGUGUUACUGCAUAGAAUGGUGGAGACAGCCCAGUACCCUGUGCCAAAAGGCUGUGGAAUCCAGCCCUGCUUCCAGCUUGGCCCCAGAAUCCAUCAUCAGGGGAAGCGACCCUUGUGAAGAUACGACCUUGCCAACUGCCUCUGUAGGGAACUGCACAUCCUCCUGCUCAUCAAUCACAGCUACUGAAAAUCCAAAAAAGAAAUCUCUCACCACGUCUGAAGUUCUUGGUACCCUCAAAUGCUUCAGUAUCAGAAACAGAUAAGAUUUUAUCAAUGGAAAUGAAACUAAAGGAGUUGGGCUACCAUCUGCUUUGCUGCUAUACCUCAAGGACUGUGGGCCUUUCCAUCUGACUUAUAGUUGAAUUCACAUGUUGCCCCCCACUUACUGAAAUGACUGUGAAGUCCUUGAUAGCAAGAACUAUUUGUUUUUCUAUUUUUAUUUCCAGUGCUUUUACAUAGUAAACACAUGAUACAUGGAUUUUUUUUUUCAUUCAUACAUUCAUUCACAUAAUGGUGAGGCAGGGAGAAGCUUGGACACCAACAGAAAAAGUUUGCAAAAUUCCAAACAACCUUAAUUUCAGAACACCCAAGAUAGGAGGAGGGGCUUCCUCUCUCCUUUUUCCUCCUGGCCCCAGUCCUUACCUUACAAAUCAAUGAUUAAUCUAAGGGGAAAGGUCUUUGUUUUAAAGUUUUUACUGCACCUAUGCAAAUGCCAUGGAAAUUCAUGGGUCACAUUUACAUUUGUCAUGGGCUCCAGGCAUUAAUAGCAUAUUUAAAAGUCAUGAUGUCACUGCUAUUAAUCAGGCCCCUUUGGUGCCUUUGCUUCUGCACCAUCGAUUAAUCACCAGCAGUCUACAAGCUCACAUAUUUGGAAAGGCUAAGUUUGGAGCCAUAAAAUAUGAUUUAUUUUUUUUAAAGUAGCAUUAUUAAAGAUGAAUUAUAAGCUCCCUCUUUUGGAAUUUCCUUAGGAACAGUCUGGCAUUUCCAAAGUGGACCUGAAACUCUUGUUCUGAAGUCCAAGGAACUCCAGCGGUCCUGGUGGAAGGGGUAAAAAAAAAAAUUCCAAUGACACUUCUAAGAUGCAGCUUUUGCAUUCCUUUAAAAGGACUUUAGCUCACAUGCAGUUCUGUUGUUCCUCUCCAUCUCUCAGAGAAGGAAAGAGAACUGUCACAGUUAUUCUGACAAAGAAAAGGGAUAUUGAGCUAGAGAGGACACAGAUGCAAACUCUAAUAGAUUUACUUUUCUUGGAGCCUUCUUUUGGGUCAU